rnacentral:misc_RNA from 1 species
AGUACAGUUGAGUAAUGUGAGGGUGUUGACAUAACUCUGGAGACCUGAGACACUUGUUAUUGUGCUGCUCAGUUCAUUCAAGUGUUCCAAACAUUGUAGCUCCUCUAUUAGCAGAUUAUCUUUCCUCAAUAUAUUAUCUUCCCCUUUUUGGACGUCAAAAACACCAGCGUCGUGCAUUUCCAAAAAUUGCAAUGAUGAUAAACUAGAUAUGACUCUCCUUGGAAUCCUAUUUAGCCGCAAAGUACCCUCCAAGUUCAGAUAUUUCAGAUUUACC